AAUGCCUUUCCAUUCAUCUGGCUGGCGAAUUGACCUUGAUUAUUGCAGGGAGCUCAGCUUAGUGUGCCAACCAGGGUAUCUGCAUGUGGACUCUCUAGCUGGGUGGUCUCAGAGUCAUUGGACCACUUACAUGAUCUGGCUCCCCCUAGAAUAAAUGUCCCAAGAUAACUUGUCAGAAGCUGUAUGCCUUUGUAGGACUUGCACUCAGAAGUCAAAGACCAUCAGUUCUGAUAUAUCCUACUGGUAGAAGCAGUUAUAAACCUGCCCACAUUCAAGGUGCAAUGACUGGAAGACAGCAGUGAUCGUGCCACAGAGAGGUUGAGCCAUGUGUGUACCUAGUGCUGGACUGGAGAGGCUGAAUUGGAACUGUGGUCCUUGGAUGCCCUCAAGAAAUCAUUCCAUCUCGAGAUUGUGGUGCCUGACUUGUUGCUAUGUGAGGAAAAUACCUUGCUUUUCAUGCCAGUACUUAUUGGCAUUUUUGACACUUGCAGCCACAUGUUUUCACUGAUAUUUGUCCAAAGUCAUGCACAUACUGAGUGGGAGGGCUGGGUUUCCAGGCCAUAUUUCUUAAGAUCUGCUGUUGUGUUCUCUUGUUAAACAGCAUAGAGAAGCUUGGGUAAGGAAUGUAGCUAGAUACUUCCACAUGGAAAACCCCCUCAUUAACUCUUUAAUCACCCCAAGACAUACUUCCUACAGAAAAGAGGGUUAAAUGCUUGAUUUGUAAACCAGUUGCUUUUGCCCAAGGCCAGGUGGUUCUCUGAAUAAGAUCCGGAUUAACACACAUUAUCAGCAUCUCCUUAGCAGGGAACAAGAUGCCUCUGGCCUUCUGUAAUGAACUGAUGAAACAUACAAGCUUUUUCUUGCUUCUUGUCAAAUGAUUUCCAAACCUUCCACACCAAACAUGCCUCUUUUCUUAACUCCCUGCAAGGUACAAUAUGUUUUGAAAGAUUUUGUUGAGUGAAUUACACUUGUUAAUAAAAACUUGAUUCCUUUUUUUCAUUUAAA